GGGCCCGCACAAGCGGUGGAGCAUGUGGUUUAAUUCGAUGCAACGCGAAGAACCUUACCAGGGCUUGACAUACUACGAAUCCUUUUGAAAAAAAGGAGUGCCUUCGGGAAUGUAGAUACAGGUGGUGCAUGGCUGUCGUCAGCUCGUGUCGUGAGAUGUUGGGUUAAGUCCCGCAACGAGCGCAACCCUUAUUUUUAGUUACCAAUUCGUUGGGUUCUCUAGAAAGACUGCCGGUGACAAACCGGAGGAAGGUGAGGAUGACGUCAAGUCAGCAUGCCCCUUAUGUCCUGGGCUACACACGUGCUACAAUGGUGGAGACAAAGAGUUGCGAGCUCGCGAGAGUAAGCUAAUCUCAUAAACUUCGCCUAAGUUCAGAUUGCAGGCUGCAACUCGCCUGCAUGAAGUUGGAAUC
rnacentral:rRNA from 1 species